rnacentral:rRNA from 1 species
UCCGCCAGAGAACUACAAGUGAAAAACUUGAAACUCAAAGGACUUGACGGUGUCCCAUAUCGGCCUAGAGGAGCCUGUCCUGUAAUCGAUACCCCCCGUUCCACCCAACCUUAACUAGUAAAAUAUCAGCCUAUAUACCGCCGUCGACAGUCUACCCUAUGAAGGCCCAACAGUAGACAUAAUAGCCUCCCCCGCUAGCACGUCAGGUCAAGGUGUAGCAAAUGUUAAGGAAGAGAUUGGCUACAUUUUUUAAAAUAAAAAACACGAAAAGCACUAUGAAACCCUGCAUGAAGGUGAAUUUAGUAGUAAAAUAGAUUAGAGUGUCUAUUUUAACAACGCUCUGGGACGCGUACACACCGCCC